rnacentral:rRNA from 1 species
UAGGGAAUCUUCGGCAAUGGACGCAAGUCUGACCGAGCAACGCCGCGUGAGUGAAGAAGGUUUUCGGAUCGUAAAACUCUGUUGCCCAGGAAGAACGCUUGGGAGAGUAACUGCUCCUAAGGUGACGGUACUGGAGAAGAAAGCCCCGGCUAACUACGUGCCAGCAGCCGCGGUAAUACGUAGGGGGCAAGCGUUGUCCGGAAUUAUUGGGCGUAAAGCGCGCGCAGGCGGUUUUUUAAGUCUGGUGUUUAAACCCGAGGCUCAACUUCGGGUCGCAUCGGAAACUGGGAGACUGGAGUGUAGGAGAGGGAAGUGGAAUUCCACGUGUAGCGGUGAAAUGCGUAGAGAUGUGGAGGAACACCAGUGGCGAAGGCGACUUCCUGGCCUAUAACUGACGCUGAGGCGCGAAAGCGUGGGGAGCAAACA